rnacentral:rRNA from 1 species
GAUGAACGCUGGCGGCGUGCCUAAUACAUGCAAGUCGAGCGAACAGACGAGGAGCUUGCUCCUCUGACGUUAGCGGCGGACGGGUGAGUAACACGUGGAUAACCUACCUAUAAGACUGGGAUAACUUCGGGAAACCGGAGCUAAUACCGGAUAAUAUAUUGAACCGCAUGGUUCAAUAGUGAAAGACGGUUUUGCUGUCACUUAUAGAUGGAUCCGCGCCGCAUUAGCUAGUUGGUAAGGUAACGGCUUACCAAGGCAACGAUGCGUAGCCGACCUGAGAGGGUGAUCGGCCACACUGGAACUGAGACACGGUCCAGACUCCUACGGGAGGCAGCAGUAGGGAAUCUUCCGCAAUGGGCGAAAGCCUGACGGAGCAACGCCGCGUGAGUGACGAAGGUCUUCGGAUCGUAAAACUCUGUUAUUAGGGAAGAACAAAUGUGUAAGUAACUAUGCACGUCUCGACGGUACCUAAUCAGAAAGCCACGGCUAACUACGUG